rnacentral:rRNA from 1 species
CUCGUGUCGUGAGAUGUUGGGUUAAGUCCCGCAACGAGCGCAACCCUUAAGCUUAGUUGCCAUCAUUAAGUUGGGCACUCUAAGUUGACUGCCGGUGACAAACCGGAGGAAGGUGGGGAUGACGUCAAAUCAUCAUGCCCCUUAUGAUUUGGGCUACACACGUGCUACAAUGGACAAUACAAAGGGCAGCUAAACCGCGAGGUCAAGCAAAUCCCAUAAAGUUGUUCUCAGUUCGGAUUGUAGUCUGCAACUCGACUACAUGAAGCUGGAAUCGCUAGUAAUCGUAGAUCAGCAUGCUACGGUGAAUACGUUCCCGGGUCUUGUACACACCGCCCGUCACACCACGAGAGUUUGUAACACCCGAAGCCGGUGGAGUAACCAUUUAUGGAGCUAGCCGUCGAAGGUGGGACAAAUGAUUGGGGUGAAGUCGUAACAAGGUAGCCGUAUCGGAAGGUGCGGCUGGAUCACCUCCUUUCUAAGGA